CAAGCCUCUCUCCCCUCUCUCAGCCGUCUCUCCCCCCAAAAUCAGAAAACCCCCCAAAUCCCGACCCCCCUCUCUCAGGCAAAAUAGGAAAAAGAGAAGGCAUUUUCUACGGAUCGUCCAAAAUCCUCGCAUUCCAGAGCCGCUCAUCCAAGAUUCUAAGCUGAACAUUAAUCCUUUGAAAGAGAUGGAGCUGAUUCUGUGUGGGGGUGAAUUCUACAAUGGUAGUAAGACAUUUGUAUAUGGUAACUUGUAUUGAUAUGAUGUAGAAAAGUGUGAAUGGAAGUUGAUUUCAAGCCCUAGUAGCCCACCGCCUUGGAGUGCGCACCCAGCAGUUGCUUGGAAGAAUCAUCUCUACAUUUUCGGUGGUGAGUUUACUUCCCCAAAUCAAGAGCGUUUUCACCACUAAAAGGUAACUUCUUGGAGCUAACAUGCUCUUCUUAAACAGGUCCAUCUAUAAUAACAAAUGUCUGCCUAGGGUCUGUUCUCAACCUAACUGUACAAGAGCAACUAAAGAUGGAAUGGACAUUCGGGAUGGGGUAGUGCAGGAUGUCUACCCCGGAUAUGUUUAUUACUUGUUGGGAUACUUGUUCUGUUUCCUCUACACAGAUGAUAGAAGAAAAUGCGCGGUUAUGAAAUGAUUUUGCUAUACUCCAAUAUCUAUUUCCCUGUACUCUGCUAUUGUUUCUUGUUAUUUGACAAGUCUUGGUUCCAAUGCAUGUGAAUCGAUUACAUAUUAUCCAACAGGAAAUACUUUACGUGGA